GCUGGGUGUGGUGGCACAUGCCUGUAAUCCCAACAGCUUGGGAGGCUGAGGCAGGAGGAUUUUGAGUUCAAAGCCAGCCUCAG
rnacentral:sRNA from 1 species